AGAGUUUGAUUAUGGCUCAGGAUGAACGCUAGCUACAGGCUUAACACAUGCAAGUCGAGGGGCAGCAUUUCAGUUUGCUUGCAAACUGGAGAUGGCGACCGGCGCACGGGUGAGUAACACGUAUCCAACCUGCCGAUAACUCGGGGAUAGCCUUUCGAAAGAAAGAUUAAUACCCGAUGGUAUAAUUAGACCGCAUGGUCUUGUUAUUAAAGAAUUUCGGUUAUCGAUGGGGAUGCGUUCCAUUAGGCAGUUGGUGAGGUAACGGCUCACCAAACCUUCGAUGGAUAGGGGUUCUGAGAGGAAGGUCCCCCACAUUGGAACUGAGACACGGUCCAA
rnacentral:rRNA from 1 species